AGGUUGGUGCUCAUCUCCAUUUCUAAGCCGUUGUCCGUAGACUCCUCCAAGGUCAUGUGGGAUGACUGCAUGGAGCGGCGUUACCUUCCCGCCGGAGCAGUACCUAUUGAUGCACUCACAUUUACAUGUUUUUGAACUUCUGGGUUGGCAGAAGCUGGGGCUAACAGUGGGGGCUCUCUCCGCUCCCCCAAUUCAAACCUGCGGCCUUUCGGUCCAGAAGUUCA